GGGAGGAAGAAGAUGAGAGGGACGAGGAAGAUAGCUCACAGCAAACAAGCAGAGAAACCGGUUUUCCCGACAGCCAGGAACUGUUUCUCACCCUGGACCUGGAGCCAGUUCGCCCUGAACACACCCAAGGCUGCUUCCUGGACCUGCCAGCUGGAGAAGGGACCUCUGCUGCAUGUGUUUCAAGGAUCACAGGAUCUUCUCGUUCCCAGAGGCUAGC